rnacentral:rRNA from 1 species
ACAUCGCCUCUUGAACUAAAUAAGAGGUCCAGCCUGCCCAGUGAAAUUAUUCAACGGCCGCGGUAUCCUAACCGUGCGAAGGUAGCGUAAUCACUUGUUCUUUAAAUGAGGACUAGUAUGAAUGGCACCACGAGGGUUCUACUGUCUCCUUUUUUAAAUCAGUGAAACUAAUCUUCCCGUGAAGAAGCGGGAAUUUUUUUAUAAGACGAGAAGACCCUAUGGAGCUUUGAACAAAUGACAUUUGCUUAAUCUAAUAUUUUAUUUUCAAGAAAUAUAGCAUUAUGAUCUUUAGUUUUCGAUUGGGGUGAUCACGGAGAAAAAUUUAACCUCCACGCCGAAAGGGUUUAUUCCCUAAGCAAAAAGCUACAGCUUUAAGCACUAAAAAAUUAACGUAGUUUGAC